rnacentral:tRNA from 1 species
GCCGCCGUAGCUCAGCCGGUAGAACUCCGUAUACUCCGAUUGGCAGCGCCGCCCUGGUAAGGCGGAGGUCCCGGGUUCGAAUCCCGGCGGCGGCUCCA